UACGUAGGGUGCGAGCGUUGUCCGGAAUUACUGGGCGUAAAGCGUGCGCAGGCGGUUCCGCAAGUCAGAUGUGAAAUCCCCGGGCUCAACCUGGGAACUGCAUUUGAAACUACGGGGCUAGAGUGUGUCAGAGGGGGGUGGAAUUCCACGUGUAGCAGUGAAAUGCGUAGAGAUGUGGAGGAACACCAAUGGCGAAGGCAGCCCCCUGGGAUGACACUGACGCUCAUGCACGAAAGCGUGGGGAGCAAACAGG
rnacentral:rRNA from 1 species